GAAGCCAAGCUUGCUUGGUGGAUCAGUGGCGAACGGGUGAGUAACACGUGAGCAACCUGCCCUGGACUCUGGGAUAAGCGCUGGAAACGGCGUCUAAUACUGGAUAUGAGCUCCUUCCGCAUGGUGGGGGUUGGAAAGAUUUUUCGGUCUGGGAUGGGCUCGCGGCCUAUCAGCUUGUUGGUGAGGUAAUGGCUCACCAAGGCGUCGACGGGUAGCCGGCCUGAGAGGGUGACCGGCCACACUGGGACUGAGACACGGCCCAGACUCCUACGGGAGGCAGCAGUGGGGAAUAUUGCACAAUGGGCGGAAGCCUGAUGCAGCAACGCCGCGUGAGGGAUGACGGCCUUCGGGUUGUAAACCUCUUUUAGCAGGGAAGAAGCGAAAGUGACGGUACCUGCAGAAAAAGCGCCGGCUAACUACGUGCCAGCAGCCGCGGUAAUACGUAGGGCGCAAGCGUUAUCCGGAAUUAUUGGGCGUAAAGAGCUCGUAGGCGGUUUGUCGCGUCUGCUGUGAAAUCCCGAGGCUCAACCUCGGGCCUGCAGUGGGUACGGGCAGACUAGAGUGCGGUAGGGGAGAUUGGAAUUCCUGGUGUAGCGGUGGAAUGCGCAGAUAUCAGGAGGAACACCGAUGGCGAAGGCAGAUCUCUGGGCCGUAACUGACGCUGAGGAGCGAAAGGGUGGGGAGCAAACAGGCUUAGAUACCCUGGUAGUCCACCCCGUAAACGUUGGGAACUAGUUGUGGGGACCAUUCCACGGUUUCCGUGACGCAGCUAACGCAUUAAGUUCCCCGCCUGGGGAGUACGGCCGCAAGGCUAAAACUCAAAGGAAUUGACGGGGACCCGCACAAGCGGCGGGAGCAUGCGGGAUUAAUUUCGAUGCAACGCGAAGAACCCUUACCAAGGCUUUGACAUAUACGA
rnacentral:rRNA from 1 species